UUAAAACAGCUGCAGUGCUCGGACAGUAACUGUCUUUCUUUAAGGGAAAUGGAUCGUUUUAUUAGUGACUGUAAAGGGAAAAUCCGAGACCCAAGGACAUGAAAAUACAUCCGUUCCAGGUGAAGUUUCUUUAAGCAAAGUUCCAGAGCAGUUUUUGCCUGAAGAACAGAGGGCAGCUCUACGAGGGAGUACAACGGAGACUAAAGUCCUUUGGAAGAGCCAUUUUUCCUGGACCUGCUGCAUAAGCCUGACUGGUUGUUGAGGAGAGGAGCCGUGAUCCCUGCCUGGAGUGUCGGGCUGAUGAGCUGCAAA
rnacentral:lncRNA from 1 species